rnacentral:rRNA from 1 species
AUUGAACGCUGGCGGCAGGCCUAACACAUGCAAGUCGAGCGGAUGAAGGGAGCUUGCUCCUGGAUUCAGCGGCGGACGGGUGAGUAAUGCCUAGGAAUCUGCCUGGUAGUGGGGGAUAACGUCCGGAAACGGGCGCUAAUACCGCAUACGUCCUGAGGGAGAAAGUGGGGGAUCUUCGGACCUCACGCUAUCAGAUGAGCCUAGGUCGGAUUAGCUAGUUGGUGGGGUAAAGGCCUACCAAGGCGACGACCCGUAACUGGUCUGAGAGGAUGAUCAGUCACACUGGAACUGAGACACGGUCCAGACUCCUACGGGAGGCAGCAGUGGGGAAUAUUGGACAAAGGGCGAAAGCCUGAUCCAGCCAUGCCGCGUGUGUGAAGAAGGUCUUCGGAUUGUAAAGCACUUUAAGUUGGGAGGAAGGGCAGUAAGUUAAUACCUUGCUGCUUUGACGUUACCAACAGAAUAAGCACCGGCUAACUUCGUG